CGUAGGGGCGAGCGUUGUCCGGAAUUACUGGGCGUAAAGAGCACGUAGGCGGCUAUAAAAGUCAGAUGUGAAAACCUGGGCUCAACCGAGGGUAUGCAUCUGAAACUAAAUAGCUUGAGUCAAGGAGAGGAGAGCGGAAUUCCUGGUGUAGCGGUGAAAUGCGUAGAGAUCAGGAAGAAUACCAGUGGCGAAAGCGGCUCUCUGGACUUGAACUGACGCUGAGGUGCGAAAGCGUGGGAGCAAACAGGAUU
rnacentral:rRNA from 1 species